rnacentral:rRNA from 1 species
AUGCCGGCAGGAGGAUUCUCGGCGUCUUCGGCGCUGCCGUCCGGCAUGGAGUUUGAGCCCAAGAUCACGCCUACGGUGGUCACCUCCUGCGUCACGGCGGCCACCGGCGGGCUCAUGUUCGGCUACGACAUCGGCAUCUCUGGCGGGGUGACAUCCAUGGAGGAUUUCCAACGUGAGUUCUUCCCGACGGUGCUCCGCAAGAGCCGCGAGAACAAGGGGAGCAACUACUGCCGAUACGACAAUCAAGGCCUGCAGCUCUUUACCUCGUCCCUCUACCUCGCCGGCCUCGUCUCCACCCUCUUCGCGUCCUACACCACCCGCCGGCUCGGCCGCCGCGCCACUAUGCGCAUAGCCGGCGCCUUUUUCAUCGCCGGCGUCAUUUUCAAUGGCGCUGCGCGGAGCCUCGGUAUGCUCAUCGUCGGCAGGAUCCUGCUUGGCUGCGGUGUUGGCUUCGCCAACCAGAGAUCGCACCGAUUACAAUCCGCGGUGGCCUCCCUGUUCCAGAUAAACAUCACUGUCGGCAUUUUGUUCGCCAACCUCGUCAACUAUGGCACUAACAGGAUCCACCCUUGGGGAUGGCGUCUUUCUUUGUCCCUCGCGGGAUUCCCGGCUGUGUUGUUCACCCUAGGUGCAUUCUUCAUGGUCGAUACACCCAAUAGCCUCAUUGAGCGUAGUCGUCAAGAGGAGGGCAAAUUUGUGCUCAAGAAGAUCCGUGGCACCGACAACGUGGAGCCAGAGUUCAAUGAGAUCGUGGAGGCCAGUCGCAUCGCCCAUGACAUCAAGAACCCAUUUCGCAGCCUCCUACAACGCCGCAACCGUCCCCUUCUCAUGAUCACCAUCCUCCUCCAGAUGUUCCAGCAAUUGACCGGUAUAACCGCCAUCAUGUUCUACGCCCCGGUGCUGCUCACCACAUUGGGAUUUAAGACCGAGGCUUCACUCUACUCGGCAGUGAUCACGGGGGCAGUGAACGUAUUGUCAACGUUUGUAUCAAUGUACAUUGUAGACCGAGUGGGGAGACGGAUAUUGCUGCUAGAUGCCGGCGUGCAAAUGUUCCUCUCGUUAGUGCCAUGGCUGUGGUGA